UUCUGGCUCAGGAUGAACGCUAGCUACAGGCUAACACAUGCAAGUCGAGGGGCAGCAUUGGAGUAGCAAUACUCAGAUGGCGACCGGCGCACGGGUGAGUAACACGUAUCCAACCUGCCGCUUACUCGGGGAUAGCCUUUCGAAAGAAAGAUUAAUACCCGAUGGUAUAAAGAGUUCGCAUGUUCUCUUUAUUAAAGAAUUUCGGUAAGCGAUGGGGAUGCGUUCCAUUAGAUUGUUGGCGGGGUAACGGCCCACCAAGUCUACGAUGGAUAGGGGUUCUGAGAGGAAGGUCCCCCACAUUGGAACUGAGACACGGUCCAAACUCCUACGGGAGGCAGCAGUGAGGAAUAUUGGUCAAUGGACGAGAGUCUGAACCAGCCAAGUAGCGUGAAGGAUGACUGCCCUAUGGGUUGUAAACUUCUUUUAUAAGGGAAUAAAGUGAGGGACGUGUCCCUUUUUGUAUGUACCUUAUGAAUAAGGAUCGGCUAACUCCGUGCCAGCAGCUGC
rnacentral:rRNA from 1 species